CAGUCAGCCAUGCCUGAUGCUUUCCACUUGGGGUCUGAGGGUCCUAAGAUAUGCUCGGUCCCUUCAACUCCCCCGCUGCCUUCCGGAGACAUUUGUCACCUGAUGUGACCGGCUCCCCUUUUACAGUGGCCUCACCUUCUGUCCUGCUGAAGCUCAGUGUGCAAAACCAGGUCUUCCAUAUGGCACCAAGAUCCCUUCAUCCCGUCUGCAUUGUGUCUGCACACCCUUACAAAGCAGAAAUGAGCAUUCACUUCAUAAAAUGAGUGAACACUUAUUUAGGAUACCAGUGUGCUGUUGGUUAAGGUUAUGGUAGGAUAUUAUAUAUUUGAUGCAUGCCCUUAAGUCACCGUCCAUCAGCCACAAGUGCUGAGUCUGCAGAGUCCCAGCAUAUUCCUUCCUGAAAGGAAAUCAGAAGGGCCUUCCUUGUCAACACCUCAUGAAAUGAUUGUCUGAUGGACAACGGCAUACAGACAGAGAUGUACACACAUACAUAUGCAGAUGUGAUGGAAAACUUCCCUGGGUCACUGCACUGCCCAAAGUUUUAGUCUGCAGCUGUGAGAGGCAAGGAAGGUAAACAUACUGUGUAAAAGCCAUUAACAACUCAUGAUAAUCUUCUUAAUGUUAUUUAACCUUAUCUUAAUUAGCAGUACAUUUGGGGAGAUUGUGGAAAAUCCCUGUACCAGCAAGCCAAGCUGGAAUGGUGUUCUACUUCAGAAGCCAGUCUGAGAUUCUUACUGCUCCAGAAACGAAGUGCUAGAGGGAGUCUAACAAAUACACACUUCUGGGCAGUGCAAUGGUAUGAUCCAUGAACAGGUUGUCCAAAGAAGUUGUGGAUGCCCCAUCCCUGGAGGAGUUCAAGACCAGGCUGGAUGGGGCCCUGGGCAGCCUGAUCUGGUGGGGGGCAACCAGUCAACAGCAGAGGGUUGGAACUGGACGAUCUUUAAGGUCCCUUCCAACCUGAGCCAUUCUGUGAUUCUAUGUUGACCACGAAGUGUCAGACAGCAGAGGGACAGCCUGCUGCUCAGUGCAGAAGCACGGUGGUGACACAAGGACACAUGUCACCACCAGCUGAACCUGGGUUGCUUGCUGUCCUCAAGUCUUGGCACUGGGGACCUAGUUCAGCAUUCAGUUUUGCUCACUCCUGAGCAAAAUUCCUCCUCAGCUAAGUCAUGCAGAAUCAAACUGUUCUGCUAAUGCAAAUCAGGUCUCAAUAAACUCCCUGGAAUUUCACUACUGUGGCCCUUGCUUUUAUAGCUCUGGCUCAGUUAAGCAUUUGAAUGAACACGUAGUUCUUAAGUUCGCUUAAUUGAUGCUGACUCACCUCUCUUCAGGUUCUUUGCUUAAUAGGAGUCAAAGAGUUAGACAUAACAUUCAGCAGGCAAAACUAGCCUUUAGCAUUUGUAUUUACACCAAACAGAUAAUACUGAAAAGCGAGAAAGAAGU
rnacentral:lncRNA from 1 species